GACGAACGCUGGCGGCGUGCUUAACACAUGCAAGUCGAACGGAAAGGCCCUGCUUUUGUGGGGUGCUCGAGUGGCGAACGGGUGAGUAACACGUGAGUAACCUGCCCUUGACUUUGGGAUAACUUCAGGAAACUGGGGCUAAUACCGGAUAGGACCUCCUGCUGCAUGGUGGGGGUUGGAAAGUUUCGGCGGUUGGGGAUGGACUCGCGGCUUACCAGCUUGUUGGUGGGGUAGUGGCUUACCAAGGCUUUGACGGGUAGCCGGCCUGAGAGGGUGACCGGCCACAUUGGGACUGAGAUACGGCCCAGACUCCUACGGGAGGCAGCAGUGGGGAAUAUUGCACAAUGGGUGGAAGCCUGAUGCAGCAACGCCGCGUGCGGGAUGACGGCCUUCGGGUUGUAAACCGCUUUCGCCUGUGACGAAGCGUGAGUGACGGUAAUGGGUAAAGAAGCACCGGCUAACUACGUG
rnacentral:rRNA from 1 species